GGCUGAAAAGGCAGCUUUUCAGCUUUGCUCGCCUCAUACACACCCCCUUUCUUGUCUUCUUGGAGCACCUACAUGCCUUGUGUCCUUGAUGCUUAUCAGUAUUGGCUUCUGUAGCCUUGCUUGCUCAGUUCCUCAGGCAGGAACACUGUCUGCUCCGGGAAGGGGGAGGUCUGGGGCUACCUCAGGGGACCACCUUGAGACCCUGAGGUCUGUAUUGUGUAAGAGGUACGCAGAACAAAGACCUGGUGCUCAGACUCUGGAGGUGAGUCCUCUGAGCCCGCACAGGUGCUGAAUAAAGCUUGCUACCCUGCCUCUCUGAGCGCUGUUUGUCUCCUUCCUCUGCCAGGGUUUCUGUGACAAUAUAGUCCCCUCAGAACUCUUCCCAGUAUCUGGCUGCUGGCCUGCAUCACAGCUGUGCCUUUUUAAUGAUGGGCAAGGGUCGAGAACCCGGCCACAACCUUCCAGUCUUUCUCCCUGCACGGGACUGGGCAAAAGGGUUCCAGAGGGUUUAUGUCCUGAGGGAUGUGAUCCAGCCUGACGAAGCAGGGGUGGCAUCAAUCCCUUGAAGAGGGGGAUGGUCUGUCCCUGAGAGGGGGUCUCGGAAGCAAGGGGGCGGGGGAGAAUCUACAUAAUGAGGAGAGCAGCUGUUGGCAAAAGAGCAGCUAUCAGAGGAAUUUCCCAACCCAGGCAAUUCAAAUCCACCUUCUCUCAGAAAUUCUACAAGGAAAAAAAAAAAGAAUCUCCACCAGGGAUGAAGGGAGACUGGGGCUGCAGACACUCAGGGGCAGUGACACCACAGGCAAAGCCACCAACCAGGGAGGAGGAGACCAGAGCCCAGCCCCCUUGCCCAGGGCAUCCCAGUUAGUUGAGGCCACUUUGCCCUGUCUCUGCCAUGUGCCUCGGGGUGCUCUGCCCUGUGGUCCUCUGUCUCCUGGGAGCAGUCUCUGUGGACACUGGAGUUACUCAAACACCCAGAUACCUGGUCCUGGGAACGAGAGAUAAGAGAUCUUUGACUUGUGAACAAGAUCUGGGACAUAAUGCUAUGUACUGGUAUAAACAGAGUGCUCAGAAGCCACCAGAGCUCAUGUUCCUCUGUAACCUCAAGGAUAUCACUGAAAACGAGACUAUUCCGAGUCGCUUCAGUCCUAAAUGCCCAGAGAGCUCCCCCCUUUACCUGCACGUGGACGCCCUGAAACCAGAAGACUCGGCCGUGUAUCUCUGCGCCAGCAGUAGAGACACAGCCCUGCAGAGCCAGCCGCUUCCUCUGCACAAACCUCGAGCACCCAGCCAGGACGCUGUGGGGCCAACCAAGGCUCGGUUCCCCAUUUCCUGGAAGACCCUCAAUGGAAAGCUCAGACCCUGAGACUGCCUGCGGGCUCAUGGCCAUGGCUCUUCUGAGUUCCAUCACAGCCACCAGCCACCUGUCCUGAGCAAGACUGGGCCUGCAGCUGAAUGUAGGACGAUGUUCAAGUCUAUCCCACGCAUUUUCCAAUGGGCUGGCCUCCCCGGAAAGCCUUUUGGGAGACACUUGACCCUCUGUCCUCCCAGUCCUCCUUCCAAUAGGUGCCUGUCUCUGACUUCUUCCGUCGAAGUUCGGCCAGGGUCUCAGAUCUGACCCCAGCCACACAUAUGCUCAGACACUUUUCAAAGCGCCUCAUUCCCUCAGCAGGGGCUCUGUCCUUUCCAGCCCCUGAGGACCACAGAUCCCCCAUCUGGUCCCUGUGUCUCACGUUCAUGCUGCUGCACGUCCAGGGGCUCGGUACCUCACGGGCUCCUCUUCCACUCAACACUGCCUUUCAGGCUUGGUCCUUGUGCCUCCUGUCUCUUUAACCCUAGAUCUUCAGGGCUUCCCAUCCUGCAUUAUCAGCCAUAGGGUCUGACAUCCUUGCAAAGCCCUGCUACACCAGCCAGUGAGAAGGGAUGGCCUCCUGACAUUUCAGUUCAGACCUUUGUGCUCAGAGCUGUCCCGGCUGAACCCCGUAUCUUCAGGCUCUGCUCCUGUAAUGGGCAUCAGGCCAGUGCACACCAGCAGCCAAGGGCUGGCAGAGCCCUGCAUCCCUUCCUGGAAGCUCACCUGUCUGCAUCUGUACCAGGCUCCCGCCUUCCCCCUGAGAGGGCACUCCAGGCUCCCCUGACCAAGCCCCAAAACAUCCUACUGGGGACCAGGUCAAGGGGUGUGCAACUCUGCCUUAGGAGUGUGGGUUUCCCUUCACCUGAACAUGACCCUGAGCUGUCAACUUCUAUAAAGAUAAGCACACUGAGGUCUAGUGGUUUUAAGGCCUUACUUACUGCCAAAUACCCAAGCCUGUGUCAAGCGGAAUGCUGAUCUUCACCAAUUCCAGGUUCUCUAAUCCAGCUUGUGUGUUUUCUGAGUUCUCGUUUUCCCACUCAAGACUAGAGCAAUGCACUUCCCUGAUCAGAGCCCAAAUCUGCACAGAUACUUGCUCUCAACCCCAGAGGCAGCCAAUGAGCCUCUGAGUCCCUCUGUUCAGGGCACUGGGCUGGGUACCUACUUUCGCAUCUGCUCUCCUUCCCUGGCACUGAAACGUCCCUUUAGGGGUCGGGUCUCAGCCUCUCACUGGCGUUCCUCUCCACAUGACACUGGUGCCUGAACCUGGCCUCUGCUCACAGGUGCUGAACAGAAACACAGAGAGUUUAGGGUGAAAGAGAAAAGAUAGCUCUAUUGCUCUAGCAGCCAAAGGAGAGUCACAGCAGCCUAAGGCCUCAAAGACUGAGUCAGACUUAGGGAGAUUGGGAGCUGGUUCUAUGGCUUUGGGAGUGAAGAACAGGGCCAGAGAUAAGGAUCAGCUUGCAUUAGUUCCAAAGCUGGAGUUCAGUGGCCUGGUGGACUUCUUUCCCUAUUGGAGAGGCUUCCUUAUCAUCUUCCAUUUGUCGGGGUUUUAGUUCAGUAGAAGAACUCAAAGAUUUUUGUUUUUUUGU